GGCAGAGGUCAAAGGGAUUCCUGGGGCAGCCUCAAGGGAAAGAAUUCUGGCGCGGGGGGCCGGUAUACAGUACUCUAAAUAUGGCAGUGGUUGUGUCUGAAAUUAUCGUGCUUUUCUUUGUUUAAUCUGUUUCUUGUCUCUUCAUCGCCCUUCUAUAUAACGUAAGACUAGAAGCUUUAUUUAGUGAAUUCCCUGUAACCCAGGCUCCUUGGACAAAUAGGUAUUCAAGUAUUUGUUUUGAAGUAAUGCUCUGAAUUAACCUGCUCACAUGUAAAAAAUAAUAACCGGCUGGGAAACGCCAGUAAUAACCGCCAAACGUUUGUUAGACAUUUACAGUGUGCCAGGGACUGCGUUUUACGUGUAUUAUCACAUUCCUCAGAACAGCCUAAUGAGGACAUACACUCUAGCUGUAGCGUCCUCCCCUCUGAGAUGGAAAUUACAAGCCAUCCCGCAAUGUUGUGAGGAUUGGAGCUCAAGGGUGUAAAAUGCCUCCUCUGGGGGCUCUCCUUGGAGACGUCUUGUAUCCUAUUGAUUGUCAUCGAAGGAAAGAAGUGGCAGGAUGAUGGUGUGAGAAGGAAGAACCUUGAGUUUAAUAGUCUGAAAAAGUGGUUACAGGUUCUUGCUGUGCUUUUUCUCUCUGCGGUUUUCUGAACCCAUCGCCUAACCUGAAGCCUUAAUUCAUCUGCAAAAAUGUUUUGUGGCAGGUGCCUCUGAAGCAGAACUCUUGAGAUGGAAGGGUUGUCAUCUGAGGAAAAAAAAUCGAGAUUAAGAGAGGAGGGACUAGAAUGAGAUUCACUUACCCUCUCUCCUCCAAGGGAAGGAGAGAAUGGUGAUGCCUGCCCAAUCCUUCCUGGGCGGAACCUUUGUAGCAUGGAACAUUGGAGAAUUUGCAGUCUGCUGACUUUCUGAUUUAGGAGGUUGAUGGGGAGGCCUUAUAAUUUGCAUUUCUAACAAGUUCUGAGGUGAUGCUUCAAAUAUGUCCAGGCAGAAGGGCUGCCACACAGAGAUUUCUGCCAUACCACAUGAGAAUUGAAGCCACAGACAUCUCCAGCCCUCAAGCCUGAAACCAAAAGACUGAAAACCAAACACUAUGGUGGACAAAGGACAUCUCAGAACUUCUGUGGGGACCAGUGACACAAGGACCUAAGGUCUAUCUCUUCUCAUCUUGGCACUUCGGGUAGUCUCCCCAGUCUUGACAAAGCCCUGGAGAAAGGGGCGGGCCUCCCGUUGAUAAGAUUGUCACUGCAGAUAAAUGGAGGUUUCAAACUGAAAGAAAGGAGGAGGGCCUCCCGUUUGAUAAGAUUAUUGUCACUGCAGGUAAAUGGAGGCUUCAAAUAGAAAUAGGUUUCAGUUACAGAAAAAAAAAAUUAUCUUUGUUACACAUUUGAGUUUACAGGCCUAAGGUUACUCCCGCUACAUUGUCAUCUGUAACCAUAAGACACUCAACAUUUUAAGGUAACUAUAAGGAUUUUUGCUUCACUCAAAGAUCCUGAGGUUUUAUUCACAUUUUUAUUUGGUGACUAUAGUUGACAAGAACAAAGCUGUGGGGAAUCAACAAACACUGCCAUGCCUGGCAUUGUCACCUCACUAGAUUGUGCAUUCCUCUGGGACAGGGUCCAUACAUUGCCUUCGAAUCCCUCACUUAGUCAUUAGCCUGCACAGUGCUUGUACUUAGUAGGUGCUCAAUAAAUGUUUGUGGAAUGAAUGCAUGAUGAACAAAAUAUAUACUGAGGACUC